GAAACUUAAAGGAAUUGGACGGGGGCCUGCACAAGCGGUGGAGCAUGUGGUUUAAUCGAAGCAACGCGCAGAACCUUACCAGCGUUUGACAUGGUAGGACGACUGGCAGAGAUGCCUUUCUUCCCUUCGGGGACCUACACACAGGUGCUGCAUGGCUGUCGUCAGCUCGUGUCGUGAGAUGUUGGGUUAAGUCCCGCAACGAGCGCAACCCUCGACUUUAGUUGCCAGCAGUUCGGCUGGGCACUCUAAAGGGACUGCCGGUGUUAAACCGGAGAAGGUGGGGAUGACGUCAAGUCCUCAUGGCCUUUAUGACCAGGGCUACACACGUACUACAAUGGCCGAUACAAAGGGCAUCGACACUGCGAGGUGAAGCCAAUCCCGUAAAAUCGGUCUCAGUCCGGAUUGGAGUCUGCAACUCGACUCCAUGAAGUUGGAAUCGCUAGUAAUCGUGGAUCAGCAUGCCACGGUGAAUACGUUCCCGGGCCUU
rnacentral:rRNA from 1 species